AAACCGGAGCCUCGGGCCGGGCUGCGUGAGGGAGGAGGGUUCCUCAUGCCUAGUGGCCUAUAAGAAGACCCCGCCACCGGUCCCUCCACGCACCACUUCAAAGCCGUUCAUCUCAGUCACAGUCCAGAGCAGUACUGAGUCUGCCCAGGACACCUACCUGGACAGCCAGGACCACAAGAGUGAGGUGACUAGCCAGUCGGGCCUGAGCAACUCAUCGGACAGCCUGGACAGCAGUACCCGACCGCCCAGCGUGACACGCGGUGGAGUCGUCCCAGCCCCUGAAGCCGCAGAGCCACCCCCAAAACAUGCGUCUCUGAAAAGUGAACAAGGCACACUGACCAGCUCUGAGUCCCAUGCCGAGGCCGUCCCCAAAAGGAAACUGUCAUCAAUAGGAAUACAAGUUGACUGCAUUCAGCCAGUGCCAAAAGAGGAGCCCAGUCCUGCUACCAAAUUCCAGUCCAUCGGGGUUCAGGUAGAGGACGACUGGCGAAGCAGCGUCCCCUCUCACAGUAUGUCCUCCCGACGGGACACAGACUCGGAUACCCAGGAUGCCAAUGACUCAAGCUGUAAGUCAUCUGAGAGGAGCCUCCCGGACUGUACCCCUCACCCCAACUCCAUCAGCGUCGAUGCCGGUCCCCGGCAGGCCCCCAAGAUUGCCCAGAUCAAGCGCAACCUCUCCUAUGGAGACAACAGCGACCCUGCCCUAGAGGUGUCCUCGCUGCCCCCACCCGACCCCUGGCUUGAGACCUCCUCCAGCUCCCCAGCAGAGCCAGCACAGCCAGGGGCCUGCCACCGAGACGGCUACUGGUUCCUAAAGCUGCUGCAGGCAGAAACGGAGCGACUAGAAGGCUGGUGCUGCCAGAUGGACAAGGAGACCAAAGAGAAUAACCUCUCUGAAGAAGUCUUAGGAAAAGUCCUCAGUGCGGUGGGCAGUGCCCAGCUACUGAUGUCCCAGAAAUUCCAGCAGUUCCGGGGCCUCUGUGAGCAAAACUUGAACCCUGAUGCCAACCCACGCCCCAUAGCCCAGGACCUGGCAGGGUUCUGGGACCUGCUACAGCUGUCCAUCGAGGACAUCAGCAUGAAGUUCGAUGAACUCUACCACCUCAAGGCCAACAGCUGGCAGCUGGUGGAGACCCCCGAGAAGAGGAAGUCUUCACUAAAGGAAGAGAAGAAACCACCCGCUCCGGUCCCGAAGAAGCCAGCCAAAUCCAAGCCGGCAGUGAGCCGUGACAAGGCCUCAGACGCCAGCGACAAGCAGCGCCAGGAGGCCCGCAAAAGACUCCUGGCGGCGAAGCGGGCAGCUUCUGUGUGGCAGAACUCAGCCACUGAGAGCGCGGACAGCAUCGAGAUUUAUGUCCUGGAGGCCCAGACCAGGCUCUGAGACCAUGCAGGAGGAAAGAAAUGAUUUUAAAUCAUUAAAACCACAAAAACUAAGUGCGAA